UUUAUGGAGAGUUUGAUCCUGGCUCAGGAUGAACGCUGGCGGCGUGCCUAAUACAUGCAAGUCGAGCGAACGGACGAGAAGCUUGCUUCUCUGAUGUUAGCGGCGGACGGGUGAGUAACACGUGGAUAACCUACCUAUAAGACUGGGAUAACUUCGGGAAACCGGAGCUAAUACCGGAUAAUAUUUUGAACCGCAUGGUUCAAAAGUGAAAGACGGUCUUGCUGUCACUUAUAGAUGGAUCCGCGCUGCAUUAGCUAGUUGGUAAGGUAACGGCUUACCAAGGCAACGAUGCAUAGCCGACCUGAGAGGGUGAUCGGCCACACUGGAACUGAGACACGGUCCAGACUCCUACGGGAGGCAGCAGUAGGGAAUCUUCCGCAAUGGGCGAAAGCCUGACGGAGCAACGCCGCGUGAGUGAUGAAGGUCUUCGGAUCGUAAAACUCUGUUAUUAGGGAAGAACAUAUGUGUAAGUAACUGUGCACAUCUUGACGGUACCUAAUCAGAAAGCCACGGCUAACUACGUGCCAGCAGCCGCGGUAAUACGUAGGUGGCAAGCGUUAUCCGGAAUUAUUGGGCGUAAAGCGCGCGUAGGCGGUUUUUUAAGUCUGAUGUGAAAGCCCACGGCUCAACCGUGGAGGGUCAUUGGAAACUGGAAAACUUGAGUGCAGAAGAGGAAAGUGGAAUUCCAUGUGUAGCGGUGAAAUGCGCAGAGAUAUGGAGGAACACCAGUGGCGAAGGCGACUUUCUGGUCUGUAACUGA
rnacentral:rRNA from 1 species